AAACCAUUCCUCAAUUUUGGUCUUUAAUAUAUUCUUGUGAAACCAAUACUUCAAGAAGGAUCAAGGAGACAAUCUUGAAGGAAGGAUUAAAGAGCUUUCAAAGGCACACUUUGGACAAUCUUCAACAAAAGGAUUAAGGAUUUCCACAUAUGGAUUCAGGUACGCUUCCGUUCAUGUUGUUAUUCCAAAUUAUUCGAUAUG
rnacentral:lncRNA from 1 species